GGGGAGGGAACAUGAAUUUUCAAGCUCAUCUCCAUAAAACAAAACCUGCAUUUCUGUUCUUAGUUACUAGAUCUACAGAAUAGCUUACUGUCAUAUUUCCGAAUAACUUUAAUUUUUUUUCUUUCACUUCAGAUUUCCUUCAAGAAACAAAGGCUCCACUGGCUACUAACAAAAUAACCGUCCUUCCUCAGCCUGCUUUUCUCUGUCAAUAUUGCCUCUGUCCAAAUCUGGAUAGACUCCAAACCUACGACUUGUGCUAACAACCUCAAGAGAUGGUGAGAAACGGGCUUUUUUUCUAUAAAAAGUGGCUAACAUACAAAGGGCCAAUACUCUAAAAAUCUCCACCUUGUAAAGUUUCUAUUCAAGUAUUUUAAUCACCUGGAAAACUUGUUUAUACAAAGGCCUUUCAUUCUGAUGACAAGAGCCUCUGACCCCUUCCCUCCUUCCUUUGCAUCUAUAGGGAGCUAUCCAACCAUGGCAGAUUCUGAGGUGGAGCUCUCUCCAAUAGGACGAGACACAGUCAUCACCUAUGUUAGAAUAACAACUGAACUUCCUGCCCUAGUGUGCUUGCAAGGUCAGUUGGCUUAUGGCACACAUUUUUUAUUAAAAAAAAAAAAAAAAAAAA
rnacentral:lncRNA from 1 species